CAUGCCUAACACAUGCAAGUCGAACGGUAAGGCUUCCUUCGGGAAGUACACGAGUGGCGAACGGGUGAGUAACACGUGGGUAACCUACCCUUGACUGGGGGACAACCGAGGGAAACUUCGGCUAAUACCGCAUAACGUGCAUUGCCUCAAGGUGGUGUACCAAAGCUCCGGCGGUUAAGGAUGGGCCCGCGGCAGAUUAGCUUGUUGGUGAGGUAACGGCUUACCAAGGCGACGAUCUGUAGCCGACCUGAGAGGGUGACCAGCCACAUUGGGACUGAGACACGGCCCAAACUCCUACGGGAGGCAGCAGUGGGGAAUAUUGGACAAUGGGGGCAACCCUGAUCCAGCAAUGCCGCGUGAGUGAUGAAGGCCUUCGGGUUGUAAAGCUCUUUUGGCAGGGACGAUGAUGACGGUACCUGCAGAAUAAGCCCCGGCUAACUUCGUGCCAGCAGCCGCCGUAA
rnacentral:rRNA from 1 species